AUUUAAAUAGUUUAUUAUAAAAUAUUGAUUUGUGGUAUCAGUGAUAUGAAUUUAUUCAUUUUAAAUU
rnacentral:tRNA from 2 species